rnacentral:piRNA from 2 species
UACAAUUUGUUCAGAGACAAC